GUGCGCAUGUGCAUGUCUCCCUGUGGUGUAUAUUGUCUUCGAGAGGGAAUAGAGUCUUGACGAGCUUCACCGACAAUUACCUUCUUGCAAAGGAGACUAAUCACUGUUCUCAGGCUCUUUAAAAGCUCGUUGUCAGGAGAACAGGGGACCUGUUUGGUGUUGGGGACUUGGCAUUGUUUUGGUCUGGCGAGAUGGACCCUAAGCAGCUGAGCCAGCCUGAUGGAACUACGCCAUCUCCUGCACCGACCGAGGGCGGCACCUCUCCUGCACCGACCGAGGGCGGCACCUCCUCUCCUGACCCCCCGACCUCUGACCUCACGGCUGCUCCCUUGGUCCCGGCCCGCCCACGCCGACCUCAGAGGGUACCUCAUGUGGAGGGCUCCAUCGACGUCUCCGAACCCAAAUCCUCAGGGGCUCCCGAAACCUCUCCUGCCCCUGCCCCUGAUGCCCCUGCCCCUGCCCCUGCCCCUGAUGCCCCUGCCCCUGCCCCUGCCUCUGCCCCUG
ensembl:lncRNA